GCUGGGCUGCAGCUCAGGGAUAGAGCAUCUGCUUUGCAUGCAGAAGGUCCCAAGUUCAAUCCCCGGCAUGCUGGGCA